GCGGGUUGCAUCUGAGAGGGGACC
rnacentral:miRNA from 1 species